UACGUAGGGCGCAAGCGUUGUCCGGAAUUAUUGGGCGUAAAGAGCUCGUAGGCGGUCUGUCGCGUCGGUUGUGAAAACACAAGGCUCAACCUUGUGCCUGCAAUCGAUACGGGCAGACUAGAGUACUGCAGGGGAGACUGGAAUUCCUGGUGUAGCGGUGAAAUGCGCAGAUAUCAGGAGGAACACCGGUGGCGAAGGCGGGUCUCUGGGCAGUAACUGACGCUGAGGAGCGAAAGCGUGGGGAGCGAACAGG
rnacentral:rRNA from 1 species